rnacentral:rRNA from 1 species
GCUCGUAGUUGGAUCUAGGGCGCUGGUCGGUGGUCCGCCGCAAGGUGUGUACUGUCGGCCGGUCUCUUUUUUCUGGUUUUCCGUCGGUGCUCUUAACUGAGUGUCGGCGGUGGCCAGUGCGUUUACUUUGAAAAAAUUAGAGUGUUUAAAGCAGGCUGUUUGCCUGAAUAUCGGUGCAUGGAAUAAUGGAAUAGGACCUCGAGUCUAUUUUGUUGGUUUUCGGAAGCGAGGUAAUGAUUAAGAGGGACAGACGGGGGCAUCCGUACUCUGCCGUUAGAGGUGAAAUUCUUGGAUCGGCGGAAGACGAACUAUUGCGAAAGCAUUUGCCAAGAAUGUUUUCUUUAAUCAAGAGCGAAAGUCAGAGGUUCGAAGACGAUCAGAUACCGUCCUAGUUCUGACCAUAAACGAUGCCAACUAGCGAUCCGCCGGCGUUACCAUGACGACUCGGCGGGUAGCUCCCGGGAAACCAAAGUCUUUGGGUUCCGGGGGAAGUAUGGUUGCAAAGCUGAAACUUAAAGGAAUUGACGGAAGGGCACCACCAGGAGUGGAGCCUGCGGCUUAAUUUGACUCAACACGGGGAAACUCACCCGGCCCGGACACAGGUAGGAUUGACGGAUUGAGAGCUCUUUCUUGAUUCUGUGGGUGGUGGUGCAUGGCCGUUCUUAGUUGGUGGAGCGAUUUGUCUGGUUAAUUCCGAUAACGAACGAGACUCUAAUGUGCUAAAUAGUUACGCGACCUUAUCGGUCGGCGUUUGGAAACUUCUUAGAUAGACUAGUGGCGCUUAGCCACACGAAAGUGAGCAAUAACAGGUCUGUGAUGCCCUUAGAUGUCCGGGGCUGCACGCGCGCUACAAUGAAUAAGACAGCGUGUCGUUAACCUUGGCCGAAAGGUCUGGGAAACCCCGUAAAUUUAUUCGUGCUUGGGAUAGAGAUCUGGAAUUUCUCUAAACGAGGAAUCGC